CCUGGCUCGCCAUAUUGUUAUGAAAAAUGUACCCCAAAAUGCGUUGCCUUUUAAGAAGGACAGACGCGGGUCGGAAGCUCCAAAAUUUGCACUAAGUUCAGCUCCGCCGGGAAAAUGACAGAGACCACACGAUGCUGUCAGGAAAAACAAACUGAUCCCUUUAUUGCAGAAUGCAAAGCUACAGCUGUAGGGUCCCUGCCUCUGGAAAGAAGGAAGGAACCCCGGGAAAUGGUGGGCAAUCCUUCGAGAUGGGCGCAGGAGUGGAGCGAUUUCCUGACGAUUUCCAUGAGGUAAUUUUGGCAGGUGUUUUCCUUGAGGCCGCGGAAAGAUGGACUAUGGCAUGUUUAAUUUGAAUAAAGUUGUCAAGCUAA